rnacentral:lncRNA from 1 species
GCUUAGCCGAGUGGUUCUGGCUCAGGGUCUCUCGUGAAGUUGUAGUCAAGUUAUCAGCCAGGGAUGCAGUCAUCUAAAGGCUCAACCGGGGCUGGAGGAUCGAAUACCAAGCAGAUCACUCACACCCCUCAUGACUGGAGGCUUCGGUUCCUUGCCACUGUGUUGUUCCUAGGGCUGCUUGAUUAUGCCCAUGAUUUGGCAGCUGGCUUCCCCCAGAGCAAGAAGCCCAAGAGAGACAGCAAGUAGGAAGCCAAAAUGCCUUGUAUGUCCCAAUCUUGACAUCACACACCACCUCUUCUGCACAUUUUAUUAGUUAGAAGCAAGUCACUAAGGACACCCACACUUAAGGCAAGGGGAAUUCGUCCCACUGUAUAAAGCGAGAUGUAUCAGACAAAUUAAGGGUUUGUUUUAAAACCCCACAGUCUAUACAGCUGUUCCCCGGCUUGCAGAUGGCCUCAGGAGUGCUGCUGAUUAAGGACCCCUGUGUCAUUCUGCCACUCAAGGGGACGCUCCCCUACUCUCAUGCUGCACACCUCUUGCCCAGGCCUGGAACUCCUGGCCAGUUCUGCCCUCCAAAUCUCCUCUCGGCUUCUUCAAGCAUCUCAGUUCCAUUUCCAGGGAUGGGUGAGAGAUGCUCUGAGACCUGUGGGACUUGGUGUCUCAGAAGUUCACAUUUGUGGAAAAGAGGUUCAAUUGGCCACAUCCACCAAGUAGAGUUGGAGGUGUCUCUGUAGGGGUGAGGCAGAGUGUCUCUGACCAGAAGAUCCAGUCCCCAUGAAAGACUCAUCCAGCGCUCAGCAUACAGAACCUUUGAUCUGAGGACCAAGAAGUACUUAGUCUCAUCACCUCAUUUAUCUCUCUAGGGUAUCUGUGAGCCAGCUGGGAAAACUGGGGGAGAGGUGGUUUUUCCUGACCUAGUUUCAAGGAGGUCAAGCUGAGGCUAGAACACAGGUGACCACUGGCAGCCUCUGCCGAGCCUUCUGCCACUCUGGGCUUUGCAUUGGGGUGUGGUGGCAUGAGGGUUUGCCUCGCAGGCCUCCAGUUACGGCAGUACAGCUGGCCCAGGGCCCCCCUGGCUCUAGAAUCCAUCCCCUGGCUUGUGCUGACGUCAAGACGGAGUGCAGCAGGGAUACUAAAGCUGGCCCGAGCCUGGAAGCUGGGGGAUUCCUCCCCUACCUUUGGCUCAAGGAUUCCCCGAUGACUUUACUGAACCUCCCCUAGACGGCACAGCAGUCCAGGGUGCUCCUACUCAGCCUGCCUUUCUCCUUCACUGGGAGUCAGGGUUGCCAGAUGCAACACAGGACGCCCAGGAAAAUCUGAAUACUAGAUAAACAAAGAAUUAUUCGUGUGUUUCUGACUCAGCAAAAGUGGCCUUGAGUCUUGUUGUCCUCAGUUCCUGAAGCUAUCACUGUGUAUCAAGGGAGCCCAGGGGCAGCCCCACACUGCAUCCCUAGAGUAGGUCUGGUCUCAGCCUUGCUUCAGCAAAUGGACUGAAACUGGGAAAUAAGAAGUAACACACAUAGACACAUUUCUCUUCCUGCCUGCCCAGAAAACCACUACCUCAAAGCCUUCUCUCUCAAGCAGAUGCACUCUUAUCCUUUGAGGCUGCAGAUGCCAGGGACAUGCUUCCAUUGCAGCAUCAUCAAGAUGGCUUGGGAUCAAGAUGACUUGGGCGCACUAUCCUCCCUACCAGGCCCUGAGCAACACCAUCAUUUCUCAUUCCUAAUUCCCAGGAGAGCAUGGCACAGAGAGGUGCUCAGCAUCUUCCUGAGACUUAUAGAAGAAGCCAAGGAGCUGAGAGCAGCAGAGACAAGAAACAGAGGGAGAGUGAGAAAGUCCCGGGCCAUUCCGCAACUCAAGCAGGAGAAAAACCCAGGAGUGGGGUGGCGUAGGCGGGGCCACCACAAGGAGCCCGUGCAUCAGGGGGCGCAGGCUGUUUCUGGAUCAUUCCACUGGGAAGGGGACAAAACCCAUCUUUUAUGACCCAUGUUCAGUUCUCAGUUGGAGUCAGAUGAGGAAGAGAAUGCCCAGCAAGGGAACCCAGUCUAAGUCACGAUCCAUUCUGGAAGACCUUAACACUUUCCACUGACUGUGAGAGCUGCCGAAUACAUUUUGACCCAUGGGUGGUUCCUGUCCUUGGUGAUUCCCCGACCUCUGGUGAGAUCUUUUCCUCUCUGGCAAGCCUCUGGAUGUUCUGACUUCAGAGGGGUUCUGGCUGCAGCUUUAACUCAGCCAUAUGUUGUGACAGCUCUUGGAGCAGCAUUACACGGGAGCAAUAUCCUUCCUGCUAAUUGGAUCUCAGAAUUCAUUUUCGGACCAAAGACAUCAAAUAAACCCAGGAAAUACGAAGCCGUUUGCAGUUAUGACUUGAGACGAAUUGAGUUGUUCAUCCUCUAAAGUUGUGUUCUGUUCCUUAUCAGCCUCAUCUGAAAUCUCAGACACAAAAGCAGAGAUGUUUCUGCCAGGAGGGGCGGAAAGUUCGGUCUGGUUUUGAUAUGUGUCUGGAGAUGAUAAACUUGGGAAGGGAAAUAUAGCAGAUCCAAUCCUCCCUCCCCCAUCUCCAUUAGGUCUUUGGCCUUGAUAGAUUUCAAUAUCCUGUGCAGCUGAUGUCUGACCCACGCAUCAAGAAUACAGCCUUCACACACCUGCCGUGAGAAGCCCUCUAUGACCUUCUGCAGAGGGAGGGAACUGCCUAAGAGCUGCUGAGUGCAGGAAUGCAGGGUGCUAAGAAGCAGGUACCCAGUUUGGGGUUAAAAUAUGUAUAAUAUAUCCAUUUGAAUACCCAUCAAUAAAUAUCAGUCAUGCUCACUUUUGGGUGCUGGGGGUUAUUGGAGAUAUUGAUUCAUUUGUUUUAUGAGUGG